UUGGUACUCCCUCCGUCCGAAAAUACUUGUCAUCAAAAUGGACAAAAAGGGAUGUAUCUAGAACUAAAAUACAUCUAGAUACAUCCCCUUUUAUUCAUUUUGAUGACAAGUAUUUCCGGAUGGAGGGAGUACUAG
rnacentral:pre_miRNA from 1 species